AUUGAACGCUGGCGGCAGGCCUAACACAUGCAAGUCGAGCGGAUGAAGAGAGCUUGCUCUCUGAUUUAGCGGCGGACGGGUGAGUAAUGCCUAGGAAUCUGCCUGGUAGUGGGGGAUAACGUCCGGAAACGGGCGCUAAUACCGCAUACGUCCUACGGGAGAAAGCAGGGGACCUUCGGGCCUUGCGCUAUCAGAUGAGCCUAGGUCGGAUUAGCUAGUUGGUGAGGUAAUGGCUCACUAAGGCUACGAUCCGGAACUGGUCUGAGAGGAUGCUCAGUCACACUGGAACUGAGACACGGUCCAGACUCCUACGGGAGGCAGCAGUGGGUAAUAUUGGACAAUGGGCGAAAGCCUGAUCCAGCCAUGCCGCGUGUGUGAAGAAGGUCUUCGGAUUGUAAAGCACUUUAAGUUGGGAGGAAGGGCAGUAAGUUAAUACCUUGCGGUUUUGACGUUACCGACAGAAUAAGCACCGGCUAACUUCGUGCCAGCCGCCGCAGUAAAAC
rnacentral:rRNA from 1 species